rnacentral:rRNA from 1 species
UCCAGACUCCUACGGGAGGCAGCAGUGGGGAAUAUUGCACAAUGGGGGGAACCCUGAUGCAGCGACGCCGCGUGAGUGAAGAAGUAUUUCGGUAUGUAAAGCUCUAUCAGCAGGGAAGAUAAUGACGGUACCUGACUAAGAAGCCCCGGCUAACUACGUGCCAGCAGCCGCGGUAAUACGUAGGGGGCAAGCGUUAUCCGGAUUUACUGGGUGUAGAGGGUGCGUAGGUGGCAGGGCAAGUCAGAUGUGAAAGCCCGGGGCCCAACCCCGGUACUGCAUUUGAAACUGUCCGGCUGGAGUGCAGGAGAGGUAAGCGGAAUUCCUAGUGUAGCGGUGAAAUGCGUAGAUAUUAGGAGGAACACCAGUGGCGAAGGCGGCUUACUGGACUGUAACUGACACUGAGGCACGAAAGCGUGGGGAGCAAACAGGAUUAGAUACCCCCGUAACC